rnacentral:lncRNA from 1 species
UAGCUCAUGGGUACCACAGAUAACUUUGCCAAAGUUCUCUGCCAAAGUUGAGCACGUGAAGCUUGCAGCUCCCACUACAUCGCUCUGACCAAGAAGGGUAAAAGAAUAGCAAAGAAACAGCACUAACAAAGUUUAGACCCAUAAAUUUUGAAGGUCUAGCUACCAUAUUAUUACCCACAAGGGUAAAGGAACAGUACCACUGCUGGAUAAUUGGAAAGUCCCUGUGUGUCAACCUCUGUGCUUCGUGGCAAGGUAGACUAGCAAACAUGCCCAACCUUUACUCACAUUCGAGAAAACACUCCCAAUAAAAUUGCUUGCUCCAAAAUCGAAGAGGCACCGUCCUCCGAAUCUCGAGAGCCAGACUCCCAACAUGACUACUUUCUUAAAAAUCGAAGAGAGGGUAAAGGAACAGUACCAUUGCUGGAUAAUUGGAAAGUCCCUGUGUGUCAACCUCUGUGCUUCGUGGCAAGGUAGACUAGCAAACAUGCCCAACCUUUACUCACAUUCGAGAAAACACUCCCAACAAGAUUGCUUGCUCCAAAAUCGAAGAGGCACCGCCCUCCGAAUCUCGAGAGCCAGACUCCCAACAUGAUUACUUUCUCAAAAAAUCGAAGAGACACUGCUCCCCGAAUUUCGAGAGCCAGACCCCCAGCAUGAUUGCUUUCUCAAAAAUCGAUGAGGCAUCGUUCUCCGAAUCAAUCGAAGAGGCGCUCGCUUUCUCAAAAGCUGGGCUGCUCAGAGACCACGAGGGCCGAUCUCAGAAAUCGAAGAGGCACCUACUUUCUAGCCUUGUCAGCACCUGUCACACGCACACUCAGCUUUGCAGAAAUUAUGGGCAUUCUGUCGAAGACUUCUGGUGAAGUAGAAAGCACAUGAAUCUUACUGUUCAAUCACCCACUUCCCACACGCAACAAUAGCUCAUGGGUACCACAGAUAACUUUGCCAAAGUUCUCUGCCAAAGUUGAGCACGUGAAGCUUGCAGCUCCCACUACAUCGCUCUGACCAAGAAAGGUAAAAGAAUAGCAAAGAAACAGCACUAACAAAGUUUAGACACAUAAAUUUUGAAGGUCUAGCUACCAUAUUAUUACCCACAAGGGUAAAGGAACAGUACCAUUGCUGGAUAAUUGGAAAGUCCCUGUGUGUCAACCUCUGUGCUUCGUGGCAAGGUAGACUAGCAAACAUGCCCAACCUUUACUCACAUUCGAGAAAACACUCCCAACAAGAUUGCUUGCUCCAAAAUCGAAGAGGC